AGGUUCAAAUAUGAAAACUUGGGUGGAGGAAGGAAUAUGCGAAUGGUGGGAUGGUCCAUGCCUUUUUGAAGCUUUUGAUGCGGUAGAAGUUCCUCUGCAAGAUCCUGAAGGUCCACUAAGAAUUCCUAUUAUCGACAAAUUUAAAGACCCGGGAACUGUUGUUAUGGGUAAAACAGAAUCUGGGAGCAUUUGUGAAGAUGAUAGUUUGUUGAUGAUGCCAAAUAAGGUCAUCUUCUUUUGGAGCUUUUCCACUUUAACUGUAUUCAGCUAUGUGAUAUUGAAUACUUG
rnacentral:misc_RNA from 1 species